rnacentral:piRNA from 1 species
UGUCAUGCCACCUUUGAAUGGUUCCUUU